CUUUCUCCCUGACACCAUGUGAAGAAGGUCCUUGGUUCCCGUUCACUUUCCAUCAUGAUUGUAAGUUUCCUGAGGCCUCCCUAACUGUGCAGAACUCAGUUUGACUUACAAUGUGGAAUUUCUGGAAUUCUGGGACCUGUGAGUUACUGUUCUUCAUUAACUUUGGAAAAUUCUUGGCCAUUAUCUCUACUGAUACAUUUUUUUCUUUCUUUUUAUUUUAUUAUUAUUAUUUUUUUUUGAGAUGGAGUCUCACUCUAUUGGCAGGCUGGAGUGCAGUGGUGCAAUCUCGGCUCACUGCAACCUCUGCCUCCCGGAUUCAAGCAAUUCUCCUGCCUCAGGCUCC
rnacentral:lncRNA from 1 species